rnacentral:rRNA from 1 species
GUUCCUGUCCAACGUUAAUCGGGGCAGGGUGAGUCGACCCCUAAGGCGAGGCCGAAAGGCGUAGUCGAUGGGAAACAGGUUAAUAUUCCUGUACUUGGUGUUACUGCGAAGGGGGGACGGAGAAGGCUAUGUUGGCCGGGCGACGGUUGUCCCGGUUUAAGCGUGUAGGCUGAUUUUCCAGGCAAAUCCGGAAAAUCAAGGCUGAGGCGUGAUGACGAGGCACUACGGUGCUGAAGCAACAAAUGCCCUGCUUCCAGGAAAAGCCUCUAAGCAUCAGGUAACAUCAAAUCGUACCCCAAACCGACACAGGUGGUCAGGUAGAGAAUACCAAGGCGCUUGAGAGAACUCGGGUGAAGGAACUAGGCAAAAUGGUGCCGUAACUUCGGGAGAAGGCACGCUGAUAUGUAGGUGAAGCGACUUGCUCGUGGAGCUGAAAUCAGUCGAAGAUACCAGCUGGCUGCAACUGUUUAUUAAAAACACAGCACUGUGCAAACACGAAAGUGGACGUAUACGGUGUGACGCCUGCCCGGUGCCGGAAGGUUAAUUGAUGGGGUUAGCGGUAACGCGAAGCUCUUGAUCGAAGCCCCGGUAAACGGCGGCCGUAACUAUAACGGUCCUAAGGUAGCGAAAUUCCUUGUCGGGUAAGUUCCGACCUGCACGAAUGGCGUAAUGAUGGCCAGGCUGUCUCCACCCGAGACUCAGUGAAAUUGAACUCGCUGUGAAGAUGCAGUGUACCCGCGGCAAGACGGAAAGACCCCGUGAACCUUUACUAUAGCUUGACACUGAACAUUGAGCCUUGAUGUGUAGGAUAGGUGGGAGGCUUUGAAGUGUGGACGCCAGUCUGCAUGGAGCCGACCUUGAAAUACCACCCUUUAAUGUUUGAUGUUCUAACGUUGGCCCGUUAUCCGGGUUGCGGACAGUGUCUGGUGGGUAGUUUGACUGGGGCGGUCUCCUCCUAAAGAGUAACGGAGGAGCACGAAGGUUGGCUAAUCCUGGUCGGACAUCAGGAGGUUAGUGCAAUGGCAUAAGCCAGCUUGACUGCGAGCGUGACGGCGCGAGCAGGUGCGAAAGCAGGUCAUAGUGAUCCGGUGGUUCUGAAUGGAAGGGCCAUCGCUCAACGGAUAAAAGGUACUCCGGGGAUAACAGGCUGAUACCGCCCAAGAGUUCAUAUCGACGGCGGUGUUUGGCACCUCGAUGUCGGCUCAUCACAUCCUGGGGCUGAAGUAGGUCCCAAGGGUAUGGCUGUUCGCCAUUUAAAGUGGUACGCGAGCUGGGUUUAGAACGUCGUGAGACAGUUCGGUCCCUAUCUGCCGUGGGCGCUGGAGAACUGAGGGGGGCUGCUCCUAGUACGAGAGGACCGGAGUGGACGCAUCACUGGUGUUCGGGUUGUCAUGCCAAUGGCACUGCCCGGUAGCUAAAUGCGGAAGAGAUAAGUGCUGAAAGCAUCUAAGCACGAAACUUGCCCCGAGAUGAGUUCUCCCUGACUCCUUGAGAGUCCUGAAGGAACGUUGAAGACGACGACGUUGAUAGGCCGGGUGUGUAAGCGCAGCGAUGCGUUGAGCUAACCGGUACUAAUGAACCGUGAG